rnacentral:rRNA from 1 species
UUUGGGCAUUUAGAGGAAGUAAAAGUCGUAACAAGGUCUCCGGUGGUGAACCAGCGGGGGGAUCAUUACCGAGUUAUUACUCCAAACCCAUUGUGAAUCUUACCUUCUGUUCUGUUGUCUCGGCGGCGGUCCGCAGGCCUCCUACCCCUGUGAAUGGGGGAAAAAUAGGGGACCGGCUCCCCGCCGGCAGCACCAAACUCUUGGAUUUAUAGCGGAUUACAAAUCUCUGAUUAUAAGCAAGAAAAUGAAUCAAAACUUUCAACAACGGAUCUCUUGGUUCUGGCAUCGAUGAAGAACGCAGCGAAAUGCGAUAAGUAAUGUGAAUUGCAGAAUUCAGUGAAUCAUCGAAUCUUUGAACGCACAUUGCGCCCGGUAGCAAUCUGCCGGGCAUGCCUGUCCGAGCGUCAUUUCGACCCUCGAGCCCACUGCUCUAGCAGCAGCCCCGGCUCGGUGUUGGGGCGCUACAGGAGGUGUCUUUCGGGACCCGCCUGUAGGCCCUGAAAUACAGUGGCGGUCCCGCCGCGGCGCCCCCUGCGUAGUAGUUCUCACAAACUCGCUUCGGGUCCCGGCGGAGGCCAGCCGUCAAACCACACUCUCCAGAUGGUUUGACCUCGGAUCAGGUAGGGUUACCCGCUGAACUUAAGCAUAUCAAUAAGCGGAGG